AGAGUUUGAUCCUGGCUCAGGAUGAACGCUAGCGACAGGCUUAACACAUGCAAGUCGAGGGGCAGCGCGAGGGUAGCAAUACCUUUGGCGGCGACCGGCGCACUGGUGAGUAACACGUAUGCGACCUGCCCCGGACAGGGGGAUAAACCCGGGAAACUGGGCCUAAUACCCCAUACGCCUUCCCGUCGCAUGGCGGGAAGGUGAAAGAUCCGUCGGUCCGGGAUGGGCAUGCGGCGCAUUAGCUGGUUGGCGGGGCAACGGCCCACCAAGGCGACGAUGCGUAGGGGUUCUGAGAGGAAGGUCCCCCACACUGGUACUGAGACACGGACCAGACUCCUACGGGAGGCAGCAGUGAGGAAUAUUGGUCAAUGGACGCGAGUCUGAACCAGCCAAGUCGCGUGCGGGAUGAAGGCCCUCCGGGUCGUAAACCGCUUUAGCCGGGGAGUAACGUGUGGGACGCGUCCCUCAGUGAGAGUACCCGGAGAAUAAGCAUCGGCUAACUCCGUGCCAGCAGCCGCGGUAAUACGGAGGAUGCGAGCGUUAUCCGGAUUUAUUGGGUUUAAAGGGUGCGCAGGCGGCACGUCAAGUCAGCGGUCAAAAUGCGGCGCUCAACGCCGUACCGCCGUUGAAACUGGCGGGCUCGAGUGCGUGGGAGGAUGGCGGAAUGCGCGGUGUAGCGGUGAAAUGCAUAGAUAUCGCGCAGAACCCCGAUUGCGAAGGCAGCUGUCCAUCACGCCACUGACGCUCAUGCACGAAAGCGUGGGUAUCGAACAGGAUUAGAUACCCUGGUAGUCCACGCGGUAAACGAUGAUAACUAGUUAUCCGGCCUAAUUGGGGGCUGGGUGACCGAGCGAAAGCGUUAAGUUAUCCACCUGGGGAGUACGCCGGCAACGGUGAAACUCAAAGGAAUUGACGGGGGCCCGCACAAGCGGAGGAACAUGUGGUUUAAUUCGAUGAUACGCGAGGAACCUUACCCGGGCUCAAACGCAUCGCGCUACACCCUGAAAGGGGUGGUUCUUCGGACGCGGUGCGAGGUGCUGCAUGGUUGUCGUCAGCUCGUGUCGUGAGAUGUUGGGUUAAGUCCCGCAACGAGCGCAACCCUUAUUGUUAGUUGCUACGCAAGAGCACUCUAGCGAGACUGCCGUUGACAAAACGGAGGAAGGCGGGGACGACGUCAAAUCAUCAUGCCCCUUAUGUCCCGGGCUACACACGUAAUACAAUGGCGUUAAACAGAGGGAAGCAAAGCCGCGAGGCAGAGCAAAACCCUAAAAGGCGUCUCAGUUCGGAUCGCAGUCUGCAACUCGACUGCGUGAAGUUGGAAUUGCUAGUAAUCGCGGAUCAGCAUGCCGCGGUGAAUACGUUCCCGGGCCUUGUACACACCGCCCGUCACACCAUGAGAGUCGGGAACACCCGAAGUCCGUAGUCUAACCGCAAGGGGGGCGCGGCCGAAGGUGGGUCUGAUAAUUGGGGUGAAGUCGUAACAAGGUAACC
rnacentral:rRNA from 1 species